rnacentral:rRNA from 1 species
UGCGGAAGGAUCAUUAUUGAAUGAACUUGGUGUGGUUGUUGCUGGCUCUCUCCUGGGGGCAUGUGCACACCCGCCAUCCUCAUCUCUCCACCUGUGCACCUCUUGUAGACCUGGAUGAAUUUUCCGAUCGGUCGGGAGGAAUGCUGCGCUCUUUGCGUCGGCUUUCUUUGCACUUCCAAGCCUACGUUUUUUUUUCAUAUACCCGUAGUAUGUAACAGAAUGUAUCAUUGGGCCCAAGUGCCUAUAAACUUUAUACAACUUUCAGCAACGGAUCUCUUGGCUCUCGCAUCGAUGAAGAACGCAGCGAAAUGCGAUAAGUAAUGUGAAUUGCAGAAUUCAGUGAAUCAUCGAAUCUUUGAACGCACCUUGCGCUCCUUGGUAUUCCGAGGAGCAUGCCUGUUUGAGUGUCAUUUAAUUCUCAACCUUAUUAGCUUUUGCUGAUAAUGGCUUGGAUGUGGGGGUUUUCUUUUGCUGGCUUUCGUCAGCUCCCCUUAAAUGCAUUAGCUGGUGCCCCGCGUGGACUGUCCGUUCGGUGUGAUAAUUAUCUACGCUGUGGAUGUCUGCAAUUGCACUGCUUCUAACCGUCUGUUCAUUUGGACAAUACAUGACAAUUUGACCUC